UUCUGGACAGUACAUCUGUGCUGCAAAACAUCUGGACACAAUUGUGACCAUAAAUGUCAGUGUGACUGUGACUUGGCUAUCAAAUAUUCAAAAUGGUUCAGGAUGUGUGCUUCAGUCACAGAUCUUGACCUGUGUGUGUAUCAUUGAAGGGUUUCCUUUACCUACCAUCCAGUGGUUGCCCCUCAAGAACAACACUGAGUACUCUGUCAUUACUGCUGUGUCAAAUGACACAGUCAACAGCACUUUCAGCCUAAAUGUAGAAAACCAUGGCAACAUCACUUUUGAAUGUGUCAGCAACAAUGGAAAUGAAGAAGCUAAAGAAAAAUUCACAAUCCACAACAACUCUAAAAAAUAUGAGCAACCAUUAGAUUUAAGCAAGGGAUACCUAAAAGUCAUCAUUGCCUUUUUGAUUGGGACACU